rnacentral:rRNA from 1 species
CACGUAGGGGCGAGCGUUGUCCGGAUUUACUGGGCGUAAAGGGAGCGUAGGCGGAUUUUUAAGUGAGAUGUGAAAUACCCGGGCUUAACUUGGGUGCUGCAUUUCAAACUGGAAGUCUAGAGUGCAGGAGAGGAGAAUGGAAUUCCUAGUGUAGCGGUGAAAUGCGUAGAUAUUAGGAGGAACACCAGUAGCGAAGGCGGCUCUCUGGACUGUAACUGACGCUGAGGCACGAAAGCGUGGGGAGCAAACAGGAUUAGAUACCCUGGUAGU